rnacentral:rRNA from 1 species
UACAGAGGUCCCAAGCGUUGUUCGGAUUCAUUGGGCGUAAAGGGUGCGUAGGCGGCGCGGUAAGUCGGGUGUGAAAUCUCGGAGCUUAACUCCGAAACUGCAUUCGAUACUGCCGUGCUUGAGGACUGGAGAGGAGACUGGAAUUUACGGUGUAGCGGUGAAAUGCGCAGAUAUCAGGAGGAACACCGGGUGGCGAAGGCGGGUCUCUGGGCCGAUACUGACGUGAGGAGCGAAAGCGUGGGGAGCAAACAGG